rnacentral:pre_miRNA from 1 species
GUUAAGAACUUAUCUUCCGAAACUCUCCCUUGUAAUUUGAGAGUUGUUUAUAUUCUCAAAUUACAAGGGGUAUUGCGGAGGAUAACUUCUGAUG